GGAUGGAUGGCCGAGCGGUUUAAGGCACCAGUCUUGAAAACUGAUGUACGUUAAUAGCGUACCGUGGGUUCGAAUCCCACUCCAUCCG
rnacentral:tRNA from 1 species